GGCAGGCCUGCUAGGGCAGUAUGUCUUGCUGGGGCAUUCAGAGCCUAGGCAGGGGAUUGUGCAGCCUGGAAAUACCCUUGUCAGGAGGCAGUGAGACGUGUGUCACUGCCCAAGAAGGUGAUAGCUGGGGAGCUCGAAACCUGAGAGUGGGUGCCCUUGGUGGAUCAUAGACAGGGACGACAGGUGCAGUCACCCUGAACUGCAAUAACAACAACUGGACACUAAUAUGGAAUGACUAGGGGACAAGGGAAGCAGAACAUGGGAACACAAAGGAAGUGCAACCUGGGAUAAAGGGACUGGGUGUGAACAGGAGUGUGCUGCUGCCCAGGAGGCCACAGGGACUGAAACAGGGGAGAGAGAUGAAAUUGAGGAGGAUUCGGAAAAGCUGGGCAGAUGAUUCUGCCAACAUCAAUUUUGAUUUGUUUUGUUUCAUCAGACUAACCCUAAUGACCCUUCCGUUCCUUAUUCCAGUUGUUUAAUAAAGGCCAGGUUCUUCUUGCGAUGCUGCCAAUACCUACUGCUUACAUCUCCUCCUGCAGUGAGAGAUUGAUGAGCAGGAAUUUGAAAUCAUUUGGACUCCCUGGAGAGCCACAAUGAGAAAAAUGGGUGUUGCCAUCAGGAGGCCUGGUCUCUGAAGAGUAAAGCUGUGGGAGAUGUCCUCAGAGAAAACGACACCUACACAUUACAGGGUUUCCGGUUUCCAAACCUGACGUGAUCUCCCAGCUGGAAUGGGAGGAGGAGCCGCGGGUCCCAGAUCUCCAGGGCUCAGGAGAAAGAGAGAUCCUGAGAGGCAGCAGCACAGGAGAGGAAUCAUUCAACCAACUCAAAUACUGUCAGUACCUGAUGGAAACAGCUGGGAUUCCCUACAAAGACCUUCAGGUGAUGGGAUGGUGAGUGAGGAUGCAGAACAGAAUUCUCCGCAGGAAGAUGCUGAGCAAGUGGAACUGCACAGAACAUUAUCACAAAGAUCUAAAGGGAAUGUGUCCAGGAGUCACAAGCAGGGGAAAACCUGGGAAAGUCAGCACAGGCCAGGAAGACAGCCAGGAAACCAAGCACGGGAGAAAGUGGAUAAAUCCAGUAAUUUUCAGGGAACUCAAAAGGACCUCAAGGAAAGCAGAGAAUUCCCAGAGGAGAGACAAACAACACAUGCCUUGAGUGUGGGAAAAACUUCAGUUGCCACAAUGGCCUUGUUAAACAGGAGAGACUCCACACAGGAGAGAGCCCCUAUGAAUGCUGGGAGUGUAGUCAAACCUUCAGACUGAGUGCAAACUUUUUUACACAUAGAGCCCCUAUGAAUGCUGGGAGUGCAGUGAAACUUCCCUUCCAUGCUUACUCCUUAUCGCAUAUCAGAAGAGCCACACGGGACAGAGAACAUGUAGGUGCUUCUAGUGCAGUGGUGAGCUGAAGCCAGUUCCCACCAGUUCGCAGGAACUGGUUGUUAAAUUUAGAAGCCCUUUUAGAACCGGUUGUCCUGGUUGUAAAAAGGCUUUUAAAUUUAACAAAAUCUGUGGCAGCUCCCGGCCCUGCCCCUGGCCCCAGC